CCUGUAUUUAAUCGUAUAUUUCCAAUAGAGAUGAAAGGUUGCGAAGAACUUUGUGUUCCACAAGAACAGAUUGCCACUGAUACAUGUUGACAUUUAGUUUACGGAAUGGAACAGUAUAAAUUCAAAAAAGAAUGUAAUUUAAAAAAUGAAUGUAAAUUUAAAUAUGAUCAAAUAUUUCAAAACAUUUUUUAUACUGUUCAUGCUGAGUUUGCAUCAAAAUGGCAAGACAGAACUACUAUUAAUUGGCAGUUAUUAGUGUAAUAGUUGUACUUUUUCAUGCUAGUUUUUCAGGUUUCAGAAGGGAAAUGGAAAAGUGGUUUUUAGAAUUGUCUUGUCCCUUUUUUCUCUUUAGGAGAUACUACUAAUGGUCCCAACAGCACGUAACGGAUGUAACAAGCAGGAGCCACUGAAAGCUGUUGAACGCCAUAAACAUCGCCAGAUAUGCUUCAGUCCAGCUGCGUAGACUGGAGCUCAACAGCCUUCACCUAAGAUUAAAGACUCUCAGGAUGUCAUCAUAGAUUAAAAUGUCUGUCUACUCUGGUCAUGUUGUGUUAAAUGUGCUAAAUAGAUCAAGCUAUGUAUUCCCGCUCUCCUCAUUCGUCGCACAUUUUUAAUUUUUACAUUUUUAAAUUUUUAAAGACACCUGUUUAAAGAUUCCUUCUGUACUGGAAUCCGACAGUGUUCCCUGGAAUGGGCGCCAGUCUGUUACUCGUUUCAGUUUUAUCGUGUUGGUUGAAACCUGCAGAAUAUGCGACACGGCAGGAUGAAGGAAAGGUGGGGUAGAAGGACCGCACGCGCUCGCGGUCAAACAAAACGGCAGCUCUGAGCAGUGGCAGAGGCUCUCUCCUGCCGACCUCUCCUGUCUGUGAAGGCAAAAAUAGGUAUUGUUAAACCAAGACACCGAUCACAGGUCUUUUCUGAAUGUAACUGCGGAGUACCUUACCGUAGAUCCGUGUUUUAAACAAAGGGCCUGGAAUACGAGUGCAAUACACUGGGCGACAUAGCUCAGGAGGUAAGACCGAUUGUCUGGCAGUCGGAGGGUUGCCGGUUCAAAACCCCGCCCUGGGCGUGUCGAAGUGUCCUUGAGCAAGACACCUAACCCCUAACCCCUAACUGCUCUGGUGAAUGAGAGGCAUCAAUUGUAAAGCGCUUUGGAUAAAAGCGCUAUAUAAAUGCAGUCCAUUUACUUCUGUUUAGGAUGUACACUGAUUUGAGGUUUUGCAGUCCAAUUCAGCACUCUUUAAAAGAGUGCAUGGAAAUAGAUUCUGUGAUUGGCAGUCUCUAAGUAAUUUGUACAUAACUUGUCAAUCAUUAGACUAGGGUAUAUACAGUAAGGCUUCCAUCGGCACAUAACAGCAUUCCACUGAUGGUGUGCCAGCCAGCUGGUGCUUCUGUGUAUUUUCACUUUAUUCAGACGGGGAAAAAACAGAGAGCGCUCUACUAGAACUGGAAACACAGUGUAGGAAGUGGCAGAGCACUGGAAAUCAAGGCUCUGGCAGUAUGGGUGGAGGGUAGAGAGCCAGCUGCCCUGCUCAGAGCACCACACAGGCUUUUAGCUUCAACUGUUGCUAUAAAUGUUGAGCGUGGUUCUUUCCUGAAUGUGGCACCUUCAUACAUGUCCAAAAUGACACCUAUUUUUGC